ensembl:lncRNA
GUGUUUCUACAGACUCAGUGGUGGAGAGCCUGAGCAGCCGCCAGGAUGAGGAGGCUGCAGCAACCCUCGAUGAUGUUGUGGAGGCCGGCGGGAGUGAGAAGACGGAGGAAGAGGCCCUGGCUCGGGG